GAUGAACGCUAGCGGCAGGCCUAAUACAUGCAAGUCGGACGGGAUUUGGGAGCUUGCUUCUGAUGAGAGUGGCGCACGGGUGCGUAACACGUAUGUAACCUACCUUAAUCUGGGGGAUAGCCUCUCGAAAGAGAGAUUAACACCGCAUAACAUUACGACGCAGCAUUGCGAUGUAAUCAAAUAUUUAUAGGAUUAAGAUGGGCAUGCGGAACAUUAGCUAGUUGGUAAGGUAAUGGCUUACCAAGGCUACGAUGUUUAGGGGAUCUGAGAGGAUGGCCCCCCACACUGGUACUGAGACACGGACCAGACUCCUACGGGAGGCAGCAGUAAGGAUAUUGGUCAAUGGGCGGAAGCCUGAACCAGCCAUGCCGCGUGCAGGAAGACGGCCCUAAUGGGUUGUAAACUGCUUUUGACCGGAAUAACACUACUUCGUGAAGUAGCUUGACGGUACUGUAAGAAUAAGGAUCGGCUAACUCCGUGCCAGCAGCC
rnacentral:rRNA from 1 species